AUGACUAUGGCGAAAUAGGUAAACGCGAUUAGUUUAGGUCUAAUUUAUUUAAGGGUUCAAAUCCCUUUAGUCAUAU
rnacentral:tRNA from 1 species